CCCUGUUGACAAUAAUUAAAAAAAAAAAAAACAAAUGAAAAAAGUUGACAAAUAGGUGUUGAAAGCUAUUUAAUGAGAAAAUAAACAAUUACAAUAUCUUUGUCACACUCAAGUUUUACUCAAUAUCUUUGUCACACUUAAUUUUUACUCAAUAUCUUUGUCACACUCAAAUUUUACUCAAUAUCUUUAUCACACUCAAGUUUUACUCAAUAUCUUUGUCACACUCAAGUUUACUCAAUAUCUUUGUCACACUCAAGUUUUACUGAAUAUUUUUGUCACACUCACAUUUACUGUAGAACUCUGAUAGGAAAAUAAAUUGU
rnacentral:lncRNA from 1 species